AUGUUGUGGCUAGCGCUGCCCGGACUGCUGGAUGGGCGGCUACUGCGCUGCAUCUACUACUUUCUACUACUGCGCUGCCUCUACUGGUCUCGAAGCAGCAUAGGUGACAUGGGAGAACUAAAUCCAACUGGACUGUUCUCAUCUCCUCUUGAACUAGUGCCUCUAGCAGAUCCAAGAAAAGGUAUGCAUCAGCAGGAGAAGCUGGACUGCUACUUGAGCCUGCUCCAAAUGCUCCUGGAGGGUACUGCCCCAUGUUACCUUGGGAAGCAACACCAUGGUAGCCUGGAGGUAUGGAUGGAACUUGCUGGUUAUUUGGGCUCUGUGCAUCUGAAGGUGGGAAGGAGGAGUUCAUCAUGCUUGAAGAUGAGUGCUUCAUGUUUUGGGGGAGAGUUUUUCCAAGAUCUUCUUGUGCUUCUACGAGCUUGUUCUGUAUAUUUUAUAGACAUAUUCUCCAAACGGACAGAUUUUUCUAUUGCAGUGCAACGGUCAUCUGAAAAUUUGGGUGCUCUGGUUUGCUGUAACUUGAAUGCUGUUUGGUAUGGAUUGAAUGAUGUUGCUCGGUGGUGGUUUGGGUAG
rnacentral:rRNA from 1 species